rnacentral:rRNA from 1 species
AAUUCSCCCUUGAGUUUGAUUCUGSMMCAKAUUGAACGCUGGCGGCAUGCUUUACACAUGCAAGUCGAACKGCAGCGCGGGGGCAACCCUGGCGGCGAGUGGCGAACGGGUGAGUAAUGUAUCGGAACGUAUCCUGUAAUGGGGGAUAACCAGUCGAAAGAUUGGGUAAUACCGCAUACGCACGAGAGUGGAAAGUGGAGGAUCGCAAGACUUCACGUUAUAGGAGCGGCCGAUAUCUGAUUAGCUAGUUGGUGGGGUAAAGGCCUACCAAGGCGACGAUCAGUAGCUGGUCUGAGAGGAUGAUCAGCCACACUGGGACUGAGACACGGCCCAGACUCCUACGGGAGGCAGCAGUGGGGAAUUUUGGACAAUGGGCGAAAGCCUGAUCCAGCCAUGCCGCGUGCGGGAAGAAGGCCUUCGGGUUGUAAACCGCUUUAGUCUAGGAAAAAGGGGUGCGGGGUUAAUACCCUCGUGCUUUGAUGGUACUGGAAGAAUAAGCACCGGCUAACUACGUGCCAGCAGCCGCGGUAAUACGUAGGGUGCGAGCGUUAAUCGGAAUUACUGGGCGUAAAGCGUGCGCAGGCGGUCUUGUAAGACAGUUGUGAAAGCCCCGGGCUUAACCUGGGAACUGCAAUUGUGACUGCAAGGCUAGAGUGUGUCAGAGGGGGGUGGAAUUYCACGUGUAGCAGUGAAAAUGCGUAGAGAUGUGGAGGAAACWCCGAWKGGCGAAGGCAGCCCCCUGGGAUAACACUGACGCUCAUUGCACGAAAGCKUGGGGAGCAACAGGGAUUUAGAWUAYCCUGGKURKYCMCGCCCUAAACGAUGUYGACUUGGKUUGUUGGGGUGGGUUAACCACUUWAGUAACGRAAGCYUAACGCGUKGAAGUYCGACCGSCCUGGKGGGAKUACKGGUYSCCAARAUWAAACUYMAARGGAAUUUGACSGGGGACCCGCMMMAGSCGGUGGAAUGAUGUGGUUUAWUUCGAUGGCAACGSGAAAAAA